rnacentral:rRNA from 1 species
AUGAAGGAGGUUGCAAUCUUUCAAGAGAAGAAGAUGAUGCAAGCAAAUACAGAAAAAGCAGUAAAGUUUCAGAUCGCUUCAUGCCUUCCCAUGUUAGCGAUCAUAUACAUGGAUCAUAUUCAUAUCCCGGUCGGCCUCCCAAAUGAGCAUGUAAUUGAUUAUUUCAUGUCGAGGAUAUGUUUUGUUUGUCAAAAGGAUUUUGAUUGGUUGGAUAAUGUUGACAAGAACAAUCUCACUCUUGUCCAACCUUUUUAUGGGAAACACACCCAAAUCCGGAGUUUGUGCAACACCCCUAUGCAACACAACUCAUUUGACAGGAAAUUGGUGCUAAAGCAGCCAGUGGGCAGGGAGUUGGCGCUGAAGCACCUAGUGGCCAAGGAAGCCAAAUUUAAGGUGCUGAUGUUCAAGCAAACGAAUCUCAAUCAAGCGAGGCUCAACCAAAUGUUGAUGUUGAACCACAUCUAUCAUCAUCGCUCAACGAUUGGCUGUAGCAAUCAUUCCCUAGCUUGCAAGAUCUAA